CCUACGGUGGGCAGCAGUAGGGAAUUUUCGUCAAUGGGCGCAAGCCUGAACGAGCAAUGCCGCGUGAACGAGGAAGGUCUUCGGAUCGUAAAGUUCUGUUGACGGGGAAGAAGGGCGGAGAGAGGAAAUGGUCUCCGAUUGAUAUUACCCUUCGAGGAAGUCACGGCUAACUACGUGCCAGCAGCCGCGGUAAUACGUAGGUGGCGAGCGUUAUCCGGAAUGAUUGGGCGUAAAGGAUGCGCAGGCGGCCGGCAAAGUCCGGUGUGAAAGGUAGGGGUUAAACCGGGACAUGCACUGGAAACUGGCGGGCUAGAGAGCAGGAGAGGGCGGUAGAACUCCAGGUGUAGCGGUAAAAUGCGGAGAGAUAUGGAGGAACACUAGUGGCGAAGGCGGCCGCCUGGAC
rnacentral:rRNA from 1 species